rnacentral:rRNA from 1 species
UACGGAGGGUGCGAACGUUAAUCGGAAUCACUGGGCGUAAAGCGUGCGCAGGCGGUUAUGCAAGACAGAUGUGAAAUCCCCGGGCUUAACCUGGGAACCGCAUUUGUGACUGCAUAGCUGGAGUACGGCAGAGGGGGAUGGAAUUCCGCGUGUAGCAGUGAAAUGCGUAGAUAUGCGGAGGAACACCGGUGGCGAAGGCGGUCUGCUGGGCAGUUGCUGACACUGAGGCGCGACAGCGUGGGGAGCAAACAGG